GUGCCAGCAGCCGCGGUAAUACGGGGGGUGCGAGCGUUGUUCGGAAUCAUUGGGCGUAAAGAGCGUGUAGGCGGCUGGAUAAGUCAGAUGUGAAAGCCCUGGGCUUAACCCAGGAAGUGCAUUUGAAACUGUUCAGCUUGAGUAAGGGAGAGGAAAGUGGAAUUCCUGGUGUAGAGGUGAAAUUCGUAGAUAUCAGGAGGAACACCGGUGGCGAAGGCGACUUUCUGGCCCUAUACUGACGCUGAGACGCGAGAGCGUGGGUAGCAAACAGGAUUAGAAACCCCCGUAGUCC
rnacentral:rRNA from 1 species